rnacentral:lncRNA from 1 species
ACUCAACUUGAGCUCGGCAGUAAAAGCAGAGAGGCAAAGAAAACACUUGUGCCCUGGGCCUGCCCUCUCCGGGUGUGGCAGCCUAGGGGGAGAAGUAUCAGCCCACCUGAGUCUGGGUUUGUGCAGAAACUUCCCUGGCGGAAAAGGCGUCGUAAAAGGGGUUUAAGAAAUCCCACUGGAUGCUUUCCCAGAGCCUUGGUGUUACGGCGCUCAGCUCCAAUGCACAGACUGCGCUACGAAGGCGCCCUGCGCAGGGAUUGGCUGCAGCACCCAGGAUUUGCAUUCCUGUUUGGAGUCAGGAUUUCCAUGGUCUACACCUCAUGUGUUGCAUGUAGACGUUCAAGGUAUUUUUAUUGUGAUAUGUCAGCACACAGAAUUGGAAGGCAUGUCACAAGGUCAGGAGUUCGAGUUCUGUUGAUAGUCUCAGACCUCUUCCAACUUCAACAAGGUCAACAAGAUAAACCACAAACCUGGAUGAGUUCAUGUUAUUCCAGAUGCAUUAUCUCCUAAUCUUCAGGAAGAGGCUCCUUCAGCGGGAAGGAGCAUGGCAGGAUCUUCCCUGAAAAAACAGAAAUAGCCGUGUCUAAUCCCUGCUCUGCCUGGAAAGGAAAAGGCUCACCUACUUCCCAUGUCAAGAGCAAGAUGGAACCAUGAACUGCUAAACGACCCAUGGCAAUUUUUAAAGGAUUCCUCAAGCAGAUGGUUCUCUGGUAGUUCUUACAGCAGGAAAAGCCCCCUACAGUUCACAAAAGAGUCAAGUUGCAUUCUUCCAAACUGUCCUGAUUUUGCCGAUUUGCACAAUCUAAUAAAAUCUUUCCAUCAUAUUUCUCUUUUCCAUUUGUGGACCACUACUCAGUGAGUACAUUUAUUAUGUGUGGCUAAUAAUUUACUUUUUUGUUCUUUUUUGUUGUAAAAGCGUCAUAUUAACUACCUUUUGAGCGCAUGAAAAUGCAUAUUCGAAACAUUGCUGAGUUCAGAUUGAUUGAAUUUGACUGUGACCUUAGUGAGCCAUUCAUUUAUUCAACAAGGUUUGAUUGAACAUUUACCAUCCUAUCACUUCAGCCCACACAUUGGACAACCAAUCAGAGUUAUCACACUUCUUAGGGCAUAAAACAGAUACAUAUUCAUUAAGUUACAUAUUCCCAGUCCAAAUUAGCUUGACCCAAUUCAAGUCUUCCUUCAGAUUUUUAGAGUUCUUGCCAAAUCGUUUUCCUAUUCCCAUUUUCUCUUCACUUCCCAUUGCCCUCUUGUCCUCAAUUUCUUUUGUGUUCAUUCUCUCUCUUCUUCUUGUUUUCAGUUUCUGUCUUCUCUUUCACAAAGUUUUCUCACUUAGCUAUAAUGUAUGUUUAAUAAUACACUAUUUCAUUAUUGUGUUACUCAAAAUCCUCAAGCCACUUUAUCUCAAGAUGCAAAUACCUAGACCUCAGGUUCAAAGCUAAUAAUCUAA